GUUCGUCAUUUACAGUAAGUCAAAAAAAAAUCUCAGUACAGCAAAAAAUAUUUUUGUAUUUUCUGAAUACAUUCUAUACUUUGAAGCACAUGGAUUUAAAUAUAUAUAUGCGAAUUUAGAACAGUUAAAAUUAAAAGCAUGAGUUUUCAAAAUCCGUUCACCAACGAUCACAUUCAGAUCUGCGUAUCGUCAUUAAAGUAGCCAAUCCCGAAAUAAACGCAGCAAUCAACAAGAAGAAAACACUUUUGUGACAAGAGACAAAAAAAUGUUCAACUAACUGUAAUAAAAUUGGGUAUAAUGUCAAUGCAACUUACUUGCUAUUAAUAUAAACCGGGUAACCCAUAAAAUCCUUCACAUCCAUUACGUUGACAGAUUCAACUGGCCAGCUCGAAUAGGUGUUAGUUAAAUUCAUCGACGUACCAGAUACGACCGAAAUCUAAGUGACCACGUUCGAUCCAAAAAGAAACACCGAACCUCUAAAUAUCAGUAAAUAUCAAACAUUGGUCUAGAGACGACUCCACGCUUUAGAUUAGGUACCAGGAGUCUCAUGGAAAGCCACCGCCUUUUUUCUUCAUAUUUAAGCCAUUUUCGAUAUUAUCAACGCCUUAAAAACAUGAAGUGUCGACUUUGACUAUCACCAAAAGAAAGACAGUUUGUUUUUAGAAGUAGGGUAAAUCGCAAAAAAGAAUUAGUCCAAAAAGAUUGGAUCACUAUUUCCCUCUCAAAUCGAGCCAAUCGACAAAAAAAAAAAACACUCCAGCCAAGAAGUUAUUCGAAUCAAAAAGGUUCGAUCUAAAAAGAAAACCUGACUCACCUUGACUCACAAUACUAAGACUUGG